GUUGUGAGGAAUUUUUCUCUGCCCGAAAUGUUCAGAGAAGUUCUGAAAGGACUUUUGCGCGGAGAUCCUCAGAAGCGACUGUCUGUUCCCGGCCUCUUGGAGUUCUUGUCUACUCGUGAGAAGCUCAGGGGAAUUAUGGAGGGUUUGUGAGAAACACGGACCUUUGGUAGUCGCAACCUUUUUUCUUUCUAUUAACUAAUUUGAUACUAAUUUUUCUUUCCUACUAACAGUAAUAGCACAACCCAACACCGAGCUCUUUUAAAUCUCGCUGACUUAAUUUUAAUUACAGUUUUGGUACCAUUAAAAGCAAUAACAUAUUUUUAAAAAAGAUUAACCCGAACACUAACGAAUUUUAAAAAAACCCUUUUUAAUUGACACUAGGUAUAAAGUAACCAAUAUUAAGUAAAUGUACUCCACAAACUAAAAAACACUAAAUUAAAUACACUUCAAAAACUGAUUAGGAAAAGAACACUGAGUAAUCAAAACUAACUGUAACAUAUUAACUGAUCAAGAAUAAUUAUACAACACUAACUGGAUAACGCUAAGAAAGAGCAGCUAGCCAAUGCUAAAACACUAGCUAAGCAUCAUUACACCUUAUCUAACAAACUCAAGUUGUAAAUUAAAUAUUACUAGAUUUAAAUUUAAGGAAAAACAGACUAAAAAGUUAUUCAGAAAAGAGCUUAAGUAAUGAAUACUAACUUUAACUUAACAAUAUUAACUAAUCAGCAAUAACUAUAAAACCAUAACUGAAUAACGCUAACUAUGAAAUACCAGCUGGCCAAUUCUAAAACACUAGCUAACCAUCAUUACACCUCAUUUAACAAACUCAAGUUGUAAAACAUUAGCUGUCUCCAUCAACCACUGACAAACCUGCGCCCACUACUAACUUAUCAAUGCCAACAAUUAAAGAACACAUAUUAACCGCUGAUAAACCAAAAUCAACCUCUAACUACCCACCACUAACCAUUUUAACAACCAUUUUAAUUACUAACUUACCAACACUAACCACUAACUAACCAACCCUAACAACUAAUUAACUAACACUAACUCCCCCAGACGUGAGCGCUCGGUAGCGCCGUCUUUUUAA